AUUGAACGCUGGCGGCAGGCCUAACACAUGCAAGUCGAGCGAGCGGCGGGCGUGUGAGUAAUGUCUGGGAAACUGGCUGUUGGAGAUGGCUAACUCAAGGCAACGGUAGCUCCUACCGCGUACCAUCGGAUCUGCCCCGAUGGGAUUAGCUCGUAGGUGGGGUAAAGGCUCAGCUAGGCGACGAGCCCUAGCUGGUCUGAGAGGAUGACCAGCAACACUGGAACUGAGCCACGGUCCAGACUCCUACGGGAGGCAGCAGGGGGGAAUAUUGCACAAUGGGCGAAAGCCUGAUGAAGCCAUGCCGCGUGUAUGAAGAAGGUCUUCGGGUUGUAAAGUACUUUGAGAGGGGAGGCGUUACCCGCAGAAGAAGCACCGGCUAACUCCGUGCCAGCCGCCGCGGUAAUUC
rnacentral:rRNA from 1 species